GGACGGAUAGCUCAAGUGGUUAGAGCCCCGGUAAGGGAGAUGCGGGUUCGAAUCCCGUUCCGUCUA
rnacentral:tRNA from 1 species